UCCCAGCAGUCCAAGUSGCAACCACAUUUGUUGGGUCUAAAACAUCCGUAGCUCGCUCUGUAAGUCUCCUGUGAAAUCCCCUCUCUCAAGGAGGGGCGUGCACGAGAUACUGCAGAGCUAGGAACCGGGAGAUGUAACGAGUACAKACAGAGUAGCGGUAAAAUGCGUUGAUCCUGUCUGGACUAACAACCGCGAAGGCRCGUUACAAGCACGGAUUCGACAGUGAGGGAUGAAGGCUAGGGGCGCAAAGUGGAUUAGAUACCCMUGUAGUCCUAGCAGUAAACACUGCACACUGAACAUUGGGGCCUCUUCGAGAGGUCUCAGUGCUGUAGGGAAGCCGGAGAGUGUGCUACCUGGGAAGUAUAGUCKCAAGACCGAAACUUAW
rnacentral:rRNA from 1 species